rnacentral:rRNA from 1 species
CCUACGGGUGGCAGCAGGGAGGAAUAUUGGUCAAUGGGAGAGAGCCGGAACCAGCCAAGCCGCGGGAGGGAAGACGGCCCUAUGGGUUGUAAACCUCUUUUGUCGGAGAACAAAACCCGGCACGUGUCCCGUACUGCGUGUACCCGAAGAAAAAGCAUCGGCUAACUCCGUGCCAGCAGCCGCGGUAAUACGGAGGAUGCGAGCGUUAUCCGGAUUUAUUGGGUUUAAAGGGUGCGUAGGCGGUCUGUUAAGUCAGCGGUAAAAGUGCGGGGCUCAACCCCGACGGGCCGUUGAAACUGGCAGACUUGAGUUGGCGAGAAGUAGGCGGAAUGCGCGGUGUAGCGGUGAAAUGCAUAGAUAUCGCGCAGAACUCCGAUUGCGAAGGCAGCGUACCGGAG